UACAGAGGUCCCAAGCGUUGUUCGGAUUCACUGGGCGUAAAGGGUGCGUAGGUGGUCGGGUAAGUCGGAUGUGAAAGCUCGGAGCUCAACUCCGAAAUGGCAUUGGAAACUACCUGGCUAGAGGAUUGGAGGGGGGACUGGAAUACUUGGUGUAGCAGUGAAAUGCGUAGAUAUCAAGUGGAACACCAGUGGCGAAGGCGAGUCCCUGGACAACUCCUGACACUGAGGCACGAAAGCUAGGGGGAGCAAACAGG
rnacentral:rRNA from 1 species